UCUAUUUUUAGUUUCUUGAGGAACUUCCAUACUGCCCUCCACAGCGGCUGCACAAAUUAACUUGUGACAGUGCAUGAGGGUUCCCUUUUCUCCACACCUCACACUUGCUGUCUCGUCUUUUUAAUAAUAGACAUGCUAACAGAUGUCCUGGGGCAGCCUAGACUGGGGCAUGGGACAAAAUCCCACCUUGUCCUUUGGAGUCCGGCCUAACAAAGCCUAUUGUGCCUGCCACCUUCUCGAGCUGCAGUGGUGACUGCUCUCCAGCACUGUGCUGCCUCUGCAGCCCCCCUCAGCGCCCUUCUCAACCUUCUCCUCCCCCCCGCGUCUGUCCGCUCACGGCGAACAGAACUGACAGGACAGAACGGACUCCAAAGUGAGCACCUUGUACGUUCAAGACAACCUAACACCCAGGCCACCGGCCAAGGAAUAACGCAUCUCCAGUGAAAACAAAACUCUGAACAUUCCUACUUAGAAUCACAGAAGCAUGGUAUAGGGGUGCAAUGGCUCUAGAUUCGAAACAUUAACCAAUAUUUAUUGCCACAAAAUGGUUUUUUUUGUUUUUGUUUUUGUUUUUUUACCUAUUUCUUGUGUACGCCGUGGUGUAAGAGGUGAGCCUGGAAACUCAUCUUGCUCAGAAAUAUUUUCCUCAUCUUCACUGUCCACCGUAUGUGACAACGGAACCUUUUUGUUACAAAAGACAAAAAGAACGUGUGGUGAGUGCCAUCUGUACCAAACUUCCUCCUAACAAACACAAGCGUCUUAUUCCACACCUCCUCUGCUGCCACUUCCCACUCUGAGACAAAAGGACGACACCGGGCAGGACUGGAUGGAACGUCAGGUCCCCCGGGAAAAGCAUGGUAGCGAAGGCAAUGCCACCCAAAUGAUGCUCCGGCCACGGAGAGCUUCGCAUCCCACUCACGCUGCCCGGGUGCCCAUCUUCCUCACUCCUGCCAGGGGCCAACCCAGGAAGGGGGGGUUGCACCCGGCUUGCCCGGCACAGCACCCAGUACCACCCUACCCGGGUGCUGAUGGUGUGUUAUUCAUCUGUACGUGGGCCGAGCGCUGCCAACCCUGAUGACGAGAAUCCUCAUCCAGGCCACCGUUUGGGAUAGAGGUCCGCUACACCUGCUGGCUCUGAGUCCACUGUAAAUGCUGCUUCCUGAGAGAAGGGAAGCCUCCCCCCCCACUGUCCGUGAGGGCGUCCUAUGUAGGUAUCAUAAGUGGU